CCACGUCAGAAUGAAGAACGAGCUGGGCCGUCACGGUCGGCCGGUGGCGGGGGCUUGUCGCUUCUAGAUUGAGUGCCUGUUUCCUGACCAUGCCAGCUCACGAUGACCACCAGCAUCUCCAGGAUCGGUUUGUAGCCUCUGCAUGAAGGAAAGGAAAGAAGCAUGAAUCACAAAUGACACUUUGGCUGCAAUUAACAGAAGAUCCAGGCACAAAGGGACCACCAUGCCUCGGCAGCCUAGUACCUCAUGAGGAUCAACGAGGACAUGACAAAAACAGCAAGGGAGGGAGACGUACUGGACAAGGGAUGGCAGAGGUGCUGAUGCCGAGACGGAGUUUCAGGGUGAGGCUUCCCUGAUUCUUCGGUGUCCCGGCUUCUUUCUCCCUGCAGAGCUGCUCCUGCCGCGUUUCUUUGUUUUCUCUCCU